rnacentral:rRNA from 1 species
UACGUAGGGGGCAAGCGUUGUCCGGAAUCAUUGGGCGUAAAGAGCGUGUAGGCGGCUUGGUAAGUCCGCUGUGAAAGUCCAGGGCUCAACCCUGGAAAGCCGGUGGAAACUGUCAAGCUUGAGUCCGGAAGAGGCGAGUGGAAUUCCUGGUGUAGCGGUGAAAUGCGCAGAUAUCAGGAGGAACACCAAUGGCGAAGGCAGCUCGCUGGGACGGUACUGACGCUGAGACGCGAAAGCGUGGGGAGCGAACGGG